rnacentral:rRNA from 1 species
CAGUAGCCGCGGGAAUACGUAGGUGGCAAGCGUUGUCCGGAAUUAUUGGGCGUAAAGGGCUCGCAGGCGGUUUCUUAAGUCUGAUGUGAAAGCCCCCGGCUCAACCGGGGAGGGUCAUUGGAAACUGGGAAACUUGAGUGCAGAAGAGGAGAGCGGAAUUCCACGUGUAGCGGUGAAAUGCGUAGAGAUGUGGAGGAACACCAGUGGCGAAGGCGACUCUCUGGUCUGUAACUGACGCUGAGGAGCGAAAGCGUGGGGAGCGAACAGGAUUAGAUACCCGCGUAGUCCCUGUCUCUUAUAA